GCCGUGAUAGUCUUAGUGGUUAGGACAUAUUGCGUUGUGGCCGCAAGAACCAGGUUCGAAUCCUGGUCACGGCA
rnacentral:tRNA from 1 species